rnacentral:rRNA from 1 species
UACGUAGGGUGCAAGCGUUAAUCGGAAUUACUGGGCGUAAAGCGUGCGCAGGCGGUUUUGUAAGUCUGUCGUGAAAUCCCCGGGCUCAACCUGGGAAUUGCGAUGGAGACUGCAAGGCUAGAAUCUGGCAGAGGGGGGUAGAAUUCCACGUGUAGCAGUGAAAUGCGUAGAGAUGUAGAGGAACACCGAUGGCGAAGGCAGCCCCCCUGGGUCAAGAUUGACGCUCAUGCACGAAAGCGUGGGGGAGCAAACAGG